rnacentral:rRNA from 1 species
UACGUAGGGUGCAAGCGUUAAUCGGAAUUACUGGGCGUAAAGCGUGCGCAGGCGGUGAUGUAAGUCAGGUGUGAAAUCCCCGGGCUUAACCUGGGAACUGCAUUUGUGACUGCAUCGCUGGAGUGCGGCAGAGGGGGAUGGAAUUCCGCGUGUGGCAGUGAAAUGCGUAGAUAUGCGGAGGAACACCGAUGGCGAAGGCAAUCCCCUGGGCCUGCACUGACGCUCAUGCACGAAAGCGUGGGGAGCAAACAGG